GACCACGUGGUUCAAAUAGUGAAUGCAUGGAGACAGUAGUGUAGUUAUAAUUUCUAUAACUACUACAGGAAGCAAUGCGUUAUUGUUUACUGGUCGAACCUAGUAAUCUCGCUCGAGCGUAUUGUUACUAGUGACUACAACUUGUUUAAUACAACUCUAGCCGGAAACAGAGUGGCCGCGAGAAGCUGAGAUGGAACUCAGACUGAUAUUAGGAUGGGAGGUCAGGAAUGUCUCUAAUCAGUCUCUGAGUAAUUACGAUAUUUAUUUUCUGAGUUAUUUUAAAAGAGUGCGCAGGUUUGUGAUAUGUAACGUGUACUUAUAUAAACCAUAGGCUUAUGGACGUGUGAUAUGAACCCAGUAAUCAAAAUGACGACAAUGCGACUUUAAAUACAGAUCGCGAACGGUAGGCCAUUGAAACUUCGUUCUUGGCUACUCCCCGUAACUUACGAGCAACUUGCCGGUUUAAUGUGGGUAAAAGUUUCACAAAAUCCUACCUGUGCUAGCAGCGGAAGGUGCCUCCCCGACUGCCCAACUUAACCACUUGAGUGCGGGUUUGUUCCCUUCGCACAUUGCGUGUUUCGGCGAAGCAAAAAAAGGGGUUCGUACUACGUUGUCCAUGGAUUUGAAAACAUUUGCUGUGGAAAUGAUGCUGUAAAUGCAUUGGACGUUUUAUUUAAAAGCUUUUCUGUUUUGAAUAUAAAAGUGCCAGCACUGCUGGCGAAUUUAAAAGAAUUUUUUUGAUAUACAGAUAUAUUUAUUAAAAAGAACUAGUCGACGAAAAGCAGUUAAUGACAUAGUUAAGAUUUUUGAAACGGUUGAAGAAGCCGAGCGACUUCACAACGCAAGCGGACCAAGUCGCGGCAGUAGCAUGACUCAACAAAAUCCUUAGUUGAUACACAGAGAAGGAAUAAUCUGGAAAUAUCUUGUACUACCGAAAAUA